rnacentral:rRNA from 1 species
CAGCCGCCGCGGUAAUACAGAGGGUGCGAGCGUUAAUCGGAUUUACUGGGCGUAAAGCGUGCGUAGGCGGCUUCUUAAGUCGGAUGUGAAAUCCCUGAGCUUAACUUAGGAAUUGCAUUCGAUACUGGGAAGCUAGAGUAUGGGAGAGGAUGGUAGAAUUCCAGGUGUAGCGGUGAAAUGCGUAGAGAUCUGGAGGAAUACCGAUGGCGAAGGCAGCUAUCUGGCCUAAUACUGACGCUGAGGUACGAAAGCAUGGGGAGCAAACAGGAUUAGAUACCCCUGUAGUCCCUGUCUCUUAUAA